AUGCUCUUUCCAAGAACAACAACAAAAGCACAUAUAAGAGAACUUGAGGAAGAAGUGAAGCUCCUCAAGAACCUUUCGCACCCCAAUAUUGUGAGGUACCUCGGGACUGUCCGUGAGGAAGACACACUGAAUAUCCUGCUGGAGUUUGUUCCUGGAGGGUCUAUCCAGUCGCUUCUUGGAAAACUUGGUUCAUUCCCGAAGGCAGUCAUUGGGAAGUAUACUAGGCAGAUUUUGCAAGGGUUGGAAUAUCUGCAUAGCAAUGCAAUAAUACAUAGAGACAUUAAGGGUGCAAACAUUCUUGUUGAUAACAAAGGCUGCAUUAAGCUUGCCGAUUUUGGGGCAUCUAAGGAAGUUGCCAAGUUGGUAAGAUUGAUGUUCAAUAUGCCGUUAAGGUCGAGUAUAAUAGCUUGGAAGAAAUAA
rnacentral:rRNA from 1 species